rnacentral:rRNA from 1 species
CCCUUAGAUGUCCUGGGCCGCACGCGCGUUACACUGAUGCAUUCAACGAGCUUAUAACCUUGGCCGAGAGGCCUGGGCAAUCUUGUUAACGUGCAUCGUGAUAGGGAUAGAUUAUUGAAAUUAUUAAUCUCGAACGAGGAAUUCCUAGUAAACGCAGAUCAUCAAUCUGCAUUGAUUACGUCCCUGCCCUUUGUACACACCGCCCGUCGCACCUACCGAUUGGAUGGUCCGGUGAAGCCUCGGGAUUGUGGUUCUUGCCGCUUUGUUGUGGCGUGACCGCGAGAACUUGUCUAAACCUUAUCAUCUAGAGGAAGGUGAAGUCGUAACA